rnacentral:rRNA from 1 species
GAUGAACGCUAGCAGGAGGCUUAAUACAUGCAAGUCGAGCGGGAUCCACCUUUCGGGGUGGUGAGAGCGGCGCACGGGUGAGUAACGCGUACACGACCUACCUCUGACAAGGGGAUAGCCCUGGGAAACUGGGAUUAAUACCCUAUACGAUUCCGGAUAAUAAAGGUCUGGAAUGAAAGCUCCGGCGGUCAGAGAUGGGUGUGCGUCUGAUUAGCUAGUUGGUAGGGUAACGGCCUACCAAGGCGAUGAUCAGUAGGGGCGUGAGAGCGUGGUCCCCCACACGGGUACUGAGACACGGACCCGACUCCUACGGGAGGCAGCAGUAAGGAAUAUUGGUCAAUGGGCGCAAGCCUGAACCAGCAAUGCCG